CGAGUGGCGAACGGGUGAGUAACACGUGAGUAACCUGCCCUUGACUUUGGGAUAACUUCAGGAAACUGGGGCUAAUACCGGAUAGGAGCUCCUGCUGCAUGGUGGGGGUUGGAAAGUUUCGGCGGUUGGGGAUGGACUCGCGGCUUAUCAGCUUGUUGGUGGGGUAGUGGCUUACCAAGGCUUUGACGGGUAGCCGGCCUGAGAGGGUGACCGGCCACAUUGGGACUGAGAUACGGCCCAGACUCC
rnacentral:rRNA from 1 species